rnacentral:rRNA from 1 species
AUUGAACGCUGGCGGCAGGCCUAACACAUGCAAGUCGAGCGGAUGAAGGGAGCUUGCUCCUGGAUUCAGCGGCGGACGGGUGAGUAAUGCCUAGGAAUCUGCCUGGUAGUGGGGGAUAACGUCCGGAAACGGGCGCUAAUACCGCAUACGUCCUGAGGGAGAAAGUGGGGGAUCUUCGGACCUCACGCUAUCAGAUGAGCCUAGGUCGGAUUAGCUAGUUGGUGGGGUAAAGGCCUACCAAGGCGACGAUCCGUAACUGGUCUGAGAGGAUGAUCAGUCACACUGGAACUGAGAAACGGUCCAGACUCCUACGGGAGGCAGCAGUGGGGAAUAUUGGACGAUGGGCGAAAGCCUGAUCCAGCCAUGCCGCGUGUGUGAAGAAGGUCUUCGGAUUGUAAAGCACUUUAAGUUGGGAGGAAGGGCAGUAAGUUAAUACCUUGCUGUUUUGACGUUACCAACAGAAUAAGCACCGGCUAACUUCGUG